GGGAUACGCCGGCGUGGCGAACCUUGACAUGGUAGGGGUCACAGGUUCGAUCCCUGUCGUGCCCACCA
rnacentral:tRNA from 1 species